ensembl:lncRNA
AUCACACACAAGCUCAGAGUCACACACGUGACAUCAGCAGACUUGGUCCCACCCCUGUUUAUCUCAUCACAGACUGAGAGUUCUGAAUGUCCUCAGGUUUUCACCUCAUGCGUCACAGUCAGUCACCUUGACAUCACUGGUGAGAUUCACAGGUGACCCUGAUCAAUACCAAACUCAACAAAUCAUUUGAAAGAGAUAUUGGUAUUUCCACUUCCAAAAUAAAGUUUUGAAAACAAUUUUUAUAAAUGGAAUCUGAACCUGGGUAUACGUAUAAGGAAGUUAAUAUUUUUCCUUAAUUAUCUUCCUCUUACGAUGGGAUCAGAAGAUGACCCUCCACCAGAUGGGGAGAAGUUACAGGAGCAAAUACCAGCUUUAUUUGGGUAAGUAAACAUACAAUAGGAUUAGGCAUAGAUUUGGAGCCAAAAUUGGGCAUCCUUCUCUGUUCCCACUCUUUUGUACUGACUUUCCCACCCAUUUCCAGGGUGGUUGGAGAGGCUUGGCCCUGAGCACUUUCCCUGUCAUGUGGUAGCAGCCUAUGUGUCCUGUGAGCUGUGUGGACCCGCCCAAGCAUGGUGAGGAAAAAAAAACGGUUUUCUCCCAAAAUUGUUCAUUCUUGGGGAAUAGAGCUCCCCUCUUAGCAAUAUGAGGAAUGAGGUAACAAAUGGCUUCCUACUGAACAUGUCUGAAUUCUUUUCUCCCAUGGUUAAAAAUGUAGGACUCUGUAGAUGAAAUGAGUGAUUAGUGGGUUGCCCCUACAAUGUCCACGGUGGUUAUUUUCAUAGUGGUUUACUUAGGAUUUAAUAUAUUUCCUUCAUUUCAAUUGAAUGAGUGGACUUAAUGAUCACCAAAAUGAAGCGAAUCGAUCAUGAGGAUUUUUAAAAUAAGAUUUUGGUUUCGAGAAGAGCUAACAGCAAUGUUUAUUGGUCUUCCUGUUUGGCUGAGGAAUGAUAGGAGUCAACAGAUCAUGAUGGCAUCGUGCUCUUCCCUGUCAGGGGAGGAUCAGAUAACUGAGCUGUGCCUGAACAGCCCGGAGUCCUGCAGCAAAUGGGAACUGACGAAUAGAGGCUUUAUUUAUUUCUGGCCUGGAUUCCUCAAUAAUCUUCCAAGAUUUUGUACAGAGAAUCAAGCUUGGUGUCGAUCCAGUCUUUUGAAAUAGGAGCCAAUUUGAAUCAAGAGUAAGAGCUGAGGAAAGGUCAAAGUCCACUCCUGGGUGGGGAGGAAGGUGGGCGGAGCUGAAGAAGGGAGGCUCCUCUGGUCUGGUCUCCGCCAGGGCUCAUCUCCUCCUUCACCCUCAGCUCCUGCAUUCACGAACGUCGACCCUGUUCUUCUGCAUUUAAAUCUCCCAGAACACAGGCAGAUGUGUACACAGGGGUAAAAUUCUUCAUCUUAAAGGAAAAAUAGGGAAGUUUGUGCCCCAGCAAAUACCCACUUCCCAGCACAUUGUGGGUACUCCGCAAAUGCUGUUCUACUAAAUUGAAGUCAUUUGAAAAUGGCUGUUUGGGUCAGGGAAAGACCCUCAACCAUUUCCCUGCUGAUCUGCACCUGAACCCAACGGUGAAGAGAAAGAGACAGAGAUAGUGAAGUAAACAGAAGCCUGUUAAUUACUUUUUAAAGCUGGUGAGAAUGUUGUUGACCGGUUGCAGCUGAAAAGCAAUAAGAUCUGUGGAUAAUCAUCCUUUAUCUCCUUCUGGCCUCAUAAGCACAGAUACUUGAGAAGGGUCUGUGAUAUUAGUUAACACUCUAAAUUUAUCACAUAUUCACGUUAAGAAGAGUUUAAUGCAUUUUUUUCAGUGUGACAUUGUGAUGGGAUUCAUAAUAAGAAAUAUGUAUUUGAGCUUCGACCUGGUUCCUGGCACAGAGCUCCUAAAACCCUUGGAAUUUCUUAAGAGAUGAGAGCGACAAAGGUGUCUUGUUAUGCUAAUGAGGUGACUUUUGGAAGCUUCUAAGUAUGGGGGGAGUGAUUAGAGAAUUGAAACUUUGAUUCUGACACCCUGACCUUCAGGAAGGAGAGAGGGGUUGGAGGUUGAGUCAAUCACCAAUGGCCAAAGAGUCAAGUAAUCACACCUGUGUGAUGAAGCCUGCAUAAAAACCCAAAAGGACAGUGUUUAGAGAACGUCCUGGUUUGUGGAUAUGCGGAGGUGCUGGGAGACUGGUGCUCCGGGAUAGGGCUUGGAAGCUCCAUGUGCCUUUCCACAUACCUUGCCCUACAAAUCUCUUCCAUGUGGAUGUUCAUCUGUAUCCUGUAUCAUAUCCUUUUAUAACAAACUGCUGAAGGUAAGUAAAAUGUUUCUCAGAGCUCUGUGAGCAGCUCUAGCAAAUUACAUGAACUGGAAGGGGGGUUGUUGGAAGCUCCAGUCUAUAGCUGGUGGGUCAGAAGUGCAGGUGACAACCUGAGUUUGCAGUAGGCGUCUGAAGUGUGUGGGGGGGGGCAGUCUGGUGGGAUCUGAUGCUGUCUCCAGAUAAAUAGUGCUAGAAUUGAGUUAAAUUGUAGGACACUCAGCUGGUGUGGAGGACUGCCUGGUAUGGGGGAAACACCCCCAACACAUUUGGUGACCAGGGGUGUCAAAAAUGAAGCGUUCAGGGGCUGGCCCCGUGGCCGAGUGGUUAAGUUCGCGCGCUCCGCUGCAGGCGUCCCAGUGUUUCGCUGGUUCGAAUCCUGGGCGCGGACAUGGACUGCUCGUCAGACCACGCUGAGGCAGCGUCCCACAUACCACAACUAGAAGAACCCACAACGAGAAAUAUACAGCUAUGUACUGGGGGGCUUUGGGGAGAAAAAGGAAAGAAUAAAAUCUUUAAAAAAAAAAAAACAAACCAUAAAUGGAACUUCACCAAAAAAUUAAAAAAAAAUAAAAUGAAGCGUUCAAUGUGAGAAGUAAAGGAGACUUACAGGAAAGAAAAACAGACUCACAGGAGGAACGAGUGGGCUUUUUCCUACUCAGUAGAGAACUGUAGGUUUUUCUUUUCAAAGGUGUAGCAAGCAAUAAUUAUAACAGCGAAUGUUUAUAGAGAGAUUACGUGUCCAGCACAGUCUUAAAUACUUUAUGUACAUGGUUUCAUUUAAUUCUCACUACAACCCUGAGUGGUGGGUCCUUAUAUUACCCUCAUUUCCUAGUCAAGAAACUGGGCCACAGCCAAGCACACAUGCCUGAUGAGCGACAGAGGUGAUGCCAUCUGACUGCAGAGCGCAAGAGCCAAACCUUUGCACUAGUCACCCUCCUGACUCCAGGAGCAAACUAUGGCAUGCUCCUUUUUAAAGAAAGUAUGAGACUUUUCAGGAGGUAUUUUUCCUGGAUAUAUAAAUCAAUUCCAUUCAUAGCAAAGUGGCUUCAGAGAUGACUGCAAAGUAAAUUUUCCAUCACCCAAGCCUCUCCUUCCUUGACGCAGUAAGUGUUUACCGCGCACUAUGUGCCUGCUCUCUUUUAGACCCUGAGGUAUACCCGCAGGUAAGAGGCAAAGGUAACCCUCUCUCAUAGAAGUAGAAGACCUUCCUAAAUAAAUUAAAUGAAUAAAAUAUGUAACAAUGCAGAUGGUAAAGGUCCUGAGGUGAAUAAAUCAGGGAAGCGCAAUAGGAGCUAGGGUGUAGACUUCGGACUGUGAUUUUGAACCAGUUGGGCAGGGACUGUCUUAUGAAGGUGACACUUGAGUAAAGACUUACAGCUAUGGUGGGUGGGGAGUGGCUGGUCAGAGAGAAGAGUGAGUGGUUAUUUAUAUAUUGACUGAUUCUUUUUGGUCCUUGUAUUGCAAAGGGAGAUAAUAGUUAUACAGCAACUGGCUGUGUUUGUGACUAAAAGCCAUCGCAGUGGGUUGCAUGUUGGUGUUCCCUCAAAAUUCAUGUGGUGAAACUCUAUCCAAAUGUGAUGGUAUCUGGAGAUGGGGCCUUUCGGAAGUAUUAGGUGAUGAGGGUGGAGCCGUCAUGGGUGGGAUUAGUGCCUUAUAAGAGCUAGAGAGCUCUCACCCCUUCCUGUGAGGACACGCUAGAAGUCUGCAGUCUGCAACCUGGACGAGGGCUCUCGUGAGAACCCAACCGUGCUGGCUCCCUCAUCUCGGACCCUCGCCUCCAGAGCUGUGAGAAAUAAAUUUCUAGCAUUUAUAAGCCACCUAGACUAUGGUAAUUUGUUAUAGCAGCCUGAAUGGACUGAGACAUCGAUAAAAUUAACUAAUUGGUUUGGAGGAAUAAAACAUUGUGAAGAAAUCUCAGAAGACUUGGUUUAAAAUGGCUGUGUUUAACAGAUUUGACUGUUUUAUUUUAAAGCAUCGUUGGAUUCAGACAAAACAAAACUAUCUUAACAAUUGAUUUAACUGCAUUUCAUUUUGAGGCAAUUAUUUUUAUGGCAAGUAAGGGAAAAGUUCUCUGUAGAGAGGAAAAGUGAUGGUGUGAGGCAAUGAUCAAUAAAUGCAGAGAAAGUCUUUCUUCAAGGGCAAAUCUGACUUGAUUUUCCAGCUUCUGUUUAUCAAUCAAAUAAAUCUAACAAUUUGAAAGCUUUUCAUUUUGCAAGCCUGAUAGGAUCCACAUCUCUGAAUCUUCUGUUAAUGACUGAGAAUAUCCCUAAACUAUUUUUGUGUGUGAAAGUAAAAAUUUCCCCGAUCCCAUGUAUAUCUUGAUAACCACACAGGGAAAUCCUUCAGUGCCUAUGCGAUUAUUAUCCUGUUUUCCAAUAUGAGAAAAUAUAGGGAAAGAAGUGGUAAGAAAGCAAGGAUGCUAUAACCCUUUAGCUCAAGGGUGACAUUGUCAAAGACCCAGGAAGGGAAGAUAAGCAUCCUCGUUGUUUCCUCUGUCAGAGGGGGCUCCAGUCUGCUCUGGACUUGCAGUGGACGCAUCACAUCGGCCAACUCUUUGAAGGUCACAUGGUUUCUGCGCUCAGCAAGAGUUCAGGAAACUCUUCAAUGUGGACACAAUGAUUAAUUUAAUCUUAGAGUUCAAAGGCUGCUUCUAUUAUUUUGAGUAAGUGACAGAACAAAAGAGUGCAGUAAAAAAAAAAAAGAAAAGAAAAAAAGUGAAGGAAUGGGAUCAAGAAUCUCUGGCAAUGCACAGAAUGUUCCAGAGAAGGCUCUGCACUCAGGUUAGGCCUGACCGUGUGUAGACUCUGCCCCUGCAGACGCAUCUGUGCAUUUAAGGCCACAAAAUGUUAAGAGACACUGGCCACUUUAAAUCUCUCAUUCAAAUAUUACCAACUUCCAGCUAAGAAUUUCUCUUUUCCAUUUUCUUAGCUCCUUUUAAACACUUUCAGCAUUGGUUAUUGGUUUGGGACAAUAACAUUGAAAUGGCCUUCCUUUGUAGAGAUGUCAGGAAUCUGCCAGGAUUUUCAGGGACUUCCUGCUCUCCAGCAGUGGUUUUAAAUUUUUCCUUUGUUUUUGUAUGUUGGUUUGCUUUUAAUCCAAACUGCAUCAUGUGGCUUGUCAGCUAAAUGGGUUAUCGCUAUCUGGUGUUUUGUUCUUAAUGAUUCUCCGUGGCAUCCUUUCCAUUCUCCCUCCCCGCUCACCCGAAGUUAAUAACAGGAGAACUCUAAACAAAUGAGCCGCUAUUCCCAGGGACCGUUUCUGCCAGCAUUAGAUUAUUUUUGUAUUGUGUGAGCUUGUUGCCUAGCAGGCUUUUAUUUUCAGUAACCACAGUUUUUGUUGUUUCUUGAUUUCAUAGAUGGUAAAAAAGAAAGCAAUUUUGGAUUACAUGCAGAAAAAACUGUCUUUAAAAUCCUCAGUUACAUAGUAUAUAAUUUCCUCUAAAAUUCUUAUUGUGAAACACAGAGAGCCUUUUAAUGGAAGCAAUCACAGGUGCUUUAAUGGAAAGCCUAUAGAAAAGGGAGAUUUUAUAGGCGGAAUCGCUUCUCUUCAGACCCCUUUAAGUUCAGUGGGCGAACUAACCACAAGGCUUUGAUUUCACCCUGUGGAAAAUCAUUUUCCCCAACUGUUUAUUCGCUUGGAAAAGCCUCUAACAAUGGACAAUGACUUUUAACCAAUGGAGAGGUUUUUGGUUGAACCCUAUGAAAUAGCUGGUUUUUGCAGGUCAAAAAUGGUGGAACAUCAGUAAUUUUGUAGAAUCUAACUUAAGACUCAAAAUGAUAGAAGUUAAAAAAAAUAUAUAGAGUGACCUAGAUCCAUACAAAGACCGGGAGAAGUGGGAGAGAAGGAUCUGAAGGGUAACACAGAGCACCUGGGCAGCGGGGGUCUGAUUCUCCAUACGGGAGCUCUUGUGCAUUGGUUCAGAAUUUACUGCUGCCCGCUCUGUGGACCACGUACAGUGAGCCAGGCACUCCGCUAGCUGAUCUCCAUGUGAUCAAUGCCUGCUGUCUAGAGAUCCAUUAUUCAUGUUGUCAAUAACCUGUGAGGUAUUUUUGUCUUCAUUUUUAUGGAUGAGGGAAUCGAAGUUCCUAGAAUUGACAUAACUUUCUCAAGGCCAGACAAUAUUCGAGUCUAGUUUUGUCUGAUUCUAAAAUUUCUGCUCUGAAUCAUUGUGCCCUUUUGUCUUGUGACCAGAAAGCAGGAGAAAGUCCAGGUGCUGGGGAGUUUUGUGGGAGCUCUGCUCUUUGUAUUAUUGAGAAAGAAUCUACAUCCAACAGCAAGUUCUACAGUGUUUCUGUUUUUCAGACGACUUUUUUUCUCUGUAUGUCAGAAUUUUAAACCACCAGGUGUCAGAGUCAUGCAGAUUUUAAAAGAAAUCCUUCCAUUUCCUUCCCUACUUCAAAGAUUAGACUCUUUUAUUUACCGUUAGAGUCUGAGUUAUGAAUGCCAUUGCUUAUUUUUCUACCAAGAAUGCAUCAAAACUAGAAAAUAGCUCAGCCGUGAGAGCUAUGGAUGGAUACGAAUGGGACAUGAGGAUGCUAAGGAGGAAGGGAUCUUCCUUUCCCCUUUCUGGGUGGGAUCAAUGUCUGUUUCACUGCAGGGUCCUGAUGCACUAAGCACCUUUUAGGAGAUGGCGAGUGAUAAAUUCUCCCAAAUCACCAUAUUUCGUUUUCCAGCUUUUUUCCAGUUCAUAUUUUAAAAAAUAAAAAUGCAGAUGUUAUAAGAAGGGACACAGUGUGAAAAAAAGGGAAAGAAAAGGCUUUAAGAAAGUUUUUAAGGCCUUGAACAAAUCUAUAAUAGGUGGGUUCAGUUGUGAAGGGUUAGAUUCAGAAGCUUUCUAAGCUGUGAGAAUGCCUUGAACCUCCUGCCCCCACGCACACACAUGCCCCCUUCCUGUGUCUAAGCUUGCCCUUCACCUUGGACAUUUCACAUUGAGGAGCUUAAGCUAGAUUUAUUUUUAAUCUCUUCCCAACCAAUCCUUCUAGAACAAAUCUGGUGAAGUAGAUGCAAUGCACGCUUGAGAUGUGGGGAAGUGGCUAGGCUGCCGGCGUGAGAACCAGCGUGGAUCCGACACCCCUGGAGAAACUAAGAAUUUCCUGGAAGACUGUGGUAGAAACCAGCUCUGCUUUUCCAGGGAGUUAGAUGGUCGAUUCAUUCCUUAGACUAUUGUUUUUUCAUUGCCUACUUUAUGUCAGGCACUUUGCCAAGUGCUGUGGCUACACAGAUGGUUUCGACAUAAUUCCUACCCUCCAGGAGAAACGACAAUGGGAUUCAGACAAGUAAACUGUCAAUGACACAGUGGUGUAGGAGGCUACACAGGCUUGAGGGGGGCACGGGGUGCUCAACUGCACCAGGGGGAGUCAGAGCCAGCGUCUACUGGAAGUGCUGGAGUUACAGGGCUGUCUGUCUCGGAAACCUUAGCCCUACUGGGACAGUAUUGCCUACUGGAUGAAAAUUUAUUUAUUUAGGGCACAGUGCUUCUGGCCUGAAUGGAGUACUUUUUUUUUCCUUGUGCAAUAUUUUUGUAAUUGGUAAAAUAAAUGCAUCUUCCUCAACUGAUAUCAGACAAAUGUGAAGAGAGGUGACAUGCUGAGGGACAGCAGAAAAGGAGAAAUGAGGGGCCAGCCCAGUGGCACAGCACUUAAGGCCACACGUUCUGCUUCUUGGCGGCCCAGGAUUCACUGAUUCGGAUCCCGAGUGCGGACAUGGGACUGCUUGGCAAAAGCCAUGCUGUAGUAGGCUUCCCACAUAUAAAGUAGAGGAAGAUGGGCAUGGAUGUUAGCUCAGGGCCAGUCUUCCUCAGCAAAAAGAGGAGGAUUGGCAGCGGUUAGCUUAGGGCUAAUCUUCCUCAAAAAAAAAAAAAAGAAAAGGAGAAAUGAGUACAUCUCUAUAACUAUAAACACUUUCCAUUUAUAUGUUGUCAACCAAAGAGAGCAUAGCCAUCCAUAAGAACUGUUGUGGUCACAGGAAUUGCAUGCACCAAAGAAAGAGGGAGUUUUAGUAACUUGGUCUAAGAAUUAGUGGCCAUCUCUAGUACUUGGGGAAAAAACUCCCUGAGUCCUUCUGUUUCUCAGUGGCUAAUGAACUACUUAACAUUCUAUUUCUGCCCAGCAAGUUGGCUAUAAGGAGUGCUUACAAGGCAGUUUUCAGCAGUCAACAAUCAGAGUUAGUUAACUAUCUACCGGCGUGGGGCUAUCUCCGUGAAUGAUAUAAAUCAUCUUAGGUGGGAUUGUCCCCAUCCUCUCCCUUGGUUUCCUAAAGUGGGCUCCAAGGACGAGCUGCAUCAGGACCCCACAAGGUGCUUGGUACAGGCACAGGUCUCGGGUCUCUCUUCCAGAUCUACUGAUUGAGAAUCUCGUUAGCUAAAAACUCCAAACCUGCAUUUUUAAAAGUAAAUUUCUUAGUGAUUUUUAUGCACAACACAGCUCAGGCAGUACUGCUGUGGCAGUUUACAAUCUUAGAAUGCAAUCUGGACUAGACAUACAUAUGAAGUCAGGAAAUAGAAAUAAGGAAUACAUUUAACUCCCAAAAAUAAAUGUGGAUCAAAAGAGAGGGAAUAAUACUCAUGACAUUGCAGUCCCAGAAACCACUGAAACACAAUUGAUGUUGAGCAAAAAUGCAUGAAGACAAAGUGGUGGUUCAGAGUGUACUCUUGUUGGACCUGCUAAGAUUACCAAAAAUAUAUAUCUUUUAGCUGGACUUCAAAAGAGUUAGGCUAAAAACCACUCCUUCCCAAAUUUGUUGAAUUGUAAAACAGUUCCAUCCAUGUGACAUAGUCAUAUUCUAGACAUAUCAUAUAUAAGUGGCAGGAGGCUCAGAUAAGGUUUACCACGGUGAGGAUGGAGUUGCAGGGAUGACCUGUGAGCCGUCCAAGCACAUGUGCCUCUUCUGUGUCUAAAUAAUCCAGCAUUAGAACCCUUCUUGCUAAUAAGUGUUAAGCACAGAGAUGCCAAUUGCUGACCGUCUCAGAUCCAGGAAUUUUAGAUAAAUUUUCUGGCAGGCUUAAUUGGCUUUUGUACUAUGUGUAUCUUGUUAGUGGUAAGUUCAAGUACCAUUUCAUAGGCAUAAAUGCAAAUUUCAAACCAGAGCCAACUUUAUUCCAUGAUAAUAGCCAGGAUCUGGGGUAGGGGAGGUGUCCUCUCACAACCAAGAAAACUUACACAAAUUUUAUCCACAGCUUUACAAGAAAUUUUCUUAAUUAUUCAAGCCUAUGUUAGUGGAUUUGCAGAUUCAGAAUCUCACCUUUCCUUGGCCAUUAUUCAUCUCAUUGUGGAUGCUGAUUCCUGCCUCCCUUGCUCAGACCUCUCCCUCUUUCCUGGGUGUAAGUACCACAAUAUUCCCAGCAAUCCCUGCUAAACAAAUAAUUCCAGAUUAUGAUCCAUAUUGGUUAAAGCUAAUUUGAUGAAUGAGAUAAUUGGAACAAAAACAGAAGGUUCAAAAGUUUGCAUCAAGUUCUUAGAUUUUCACAUUGCAUAGGAAGAAAGAAAGAUUGAUGAGGAAAUGAAAAAGAGAGGAGGAGGAGAGAAUUAUGCAAAUAUGAAAAGAAAGUGAGAUUAUGCCAACUAGAAACUUCAGAUGACAGCAUCAUUUUAUAAAAGUUAAACAUAGAGGAGGAAACAUUUUUACCUAUUAUUUGGAGUAAGGUCAUUUCUUUUCCUUCUUAUUAUGGGUAGAAUUGUGUCCUCCCAAAAGAUGUUGAAAUCCUAACCCCAGUUCCUGUGAACGCGAACCUAUUUGGAAAUAGGGUCUUUGCAGAUGAUUAAAUGAACGAGAUCAUUAGGGUGGGUCCUAUCCAGUAUGACUGAUGUCUUUAUAAAAAGAGGAAAUUUGGUAACAGAAAUAGACACAGAUAGAGGAAAAGCGAUGUAAAGACACAGGGAGAACGCCAUCUGCAAUGAAGGAAUGGCUGAGGCUACCAGAAACCGGGGGAGAGGCACGGAACACAUUCUCUCUCGGAGAGCACAGAAGGAACCAGCCCUUCCAACACUUUGAUUUCUGACUUCCAGCCACCAAAACUAGGAGACAAUACAUUUUUGUUGGUUAAACCAUCCAGUUUCUGGUACUUUGUUAUGGCCACCCCAGGAAAUGAGUAUACUUCUAGAAAAUGAUAUUUAAGAAUUACAAAGAACAAAUUAGAAUAUCAUCAAGAUGUAGAAAUUUGCGUUAUGGGACAUGAGAACUUUCUGAGCAGUUUUCUGGGUUGGUAAAUGGAUUGAUAAAUGAGAGUGGGCAAGUAAGAUUGAUAGGCAAGGUUGUACUCAAGAAGUUGAAGUCAAGUUUUCUGAAAAAUAAUAAAGAUAGAAAUAGAAUUACCAUGUGCUAAAUAAUAGGGACAAAGUCCAAAAGUCCUGGGUUUCAAGUCCUCCUCAGGCAGCUCUGUACAGACUGAUAGCUGAGAGGGCCCUUGUAAUCUGGCACUAGCUCCCCUUGUCACAUGUGGAAAUUGAGGCCCAAGGCAGUUAAAUUAUUUGGCCAAACAAUAGUUUUUCGCUUACAAGGCUGUCGCAUUGAAUACAUGAACAGAAGCUUGACAUGCCAGAAUCUAUUCCGUAUACUUUAUUACAUAAAAUAAUUAACUCAGAGACAGGCAUCAUUGUCUGCCAAUAUGAUUCCAGAAUCCCGCCUCGGCUUAGGAGGGAGGGCAUUAAAUUUCUUCUGGGAAAGUUUCCGCCAGUGCAUAGCUGCGCACUAUGUUACUCACCUGAAAGGAGGAAAGAAAUCAAGCUUUUAAGGGGCAGGGUAAUAAGCAUUGCCACCCUCACCGCUCUUAUUAUAUGGUUUGAAGAUAGUAUGCAAGAUAAUCAAGUAAUGUCUACUGAACCUGGAAAAAAUGCUUAUCAGACUCUCUCCCGCCCUUUCUCCCUCUCUCCCAUCAUUAGGUGAUAAGCAGGAAUUGUUUCAGAAUCAAUUAACAUUCAUGGAAACAGUAUAAGAAUCUCUUUGUAAGGUCUCAGGCUGGAUGGUUGUUAGACACAGCAAGGAAAAACAGGAAAUCUUUAAUACUAUAGUUGAAAGUGAGCCUCGGUUAUGGAGGCCUCCAUGUUUGGAAGGACUUGUCGGACAUUGUUGCAGGAUGCAAGAACCAUAAUUUGUUGGGACAGUGACUUCACUUCUGAACUAAAUGCUAAUGUUCAUAAACUGUGCUGGUAUGUCAUUGAGUGGUUUUUCUGAGAAAAUCUUAUAACUGUCACAUGUCACCUAACCUUAUCGGUUGGCUCUAAUUUGUAGUAGCUAUGCUACAAGAAAUAUACUUUUCAGGUUGGCCUUCUCGCUGAUCAUGGUAUUCGCUGAUAAUUACACACAUAAACAGAUAUGACUAGGGCAAAGAUGCUGUACUUCUGUCAACUUUUUUAAAUCAAAGUAAGAUUUCAUAACCACUCUCUAACAGUAACUUAAAAACUUAUUUUAGAUUUAUAGAAAAAUUGUGAAGAUGGUACAAGGAGUUCUCAUAUACCCCACAUCCAAUUUUGUCUAUUAUUAGUAUCUUACCUACUAAUGUAAGGUACUAAUGUAUGGUACGUUUGUUACAAUUAAUGAACAAUAUCAACACAUUAUUAAUAACUAAACUUCAUCCUUUACUCAGAUUUCCUUAGUUAUUACAUAAUGUCUUUUUUCUGUCCCAGGAUAACAUGUAACAUUUAGUUGUCACAUCUCCUCAUGCUCUUAUGGACAGGGACAGUUUCUCAGACUUUCUUGUUUUUGAUGACUUUGACAGUUUUGAGAAGUAGUGGUCAGAGAAUGUCCCUCUGGGAUUUGUCUGUUGUUUUUCUCAUGAUUAGACUGGAAUUACGUGUUUGGGGGGAGAAAGACUCCAGAGGGAAGUCGCCAUUUUUGUCAUAUCAUUUCAAGAGUACAGAGUACCCAUCUCACCACGACAGCACUGUUGAUGUUUAACCUUGAUCACCUGGCUGAGCUAGUGCUUGUCAGGCUUCACCACCAUAAAGUUACCCCUUCCCCCACGUUUUGCAAUUGUCCCCUUUGGAAGAAAGUCAUUUUGCACAGCCCACACUGAAGGAGUGGGUGGUUCUGCUCCACCUCCUUGAAGGAGACAGCUACAAGAAUUAUUUUUAAUUCUUAUACACAGGAGAUUUGUCUAUUUUCUUCAUUUACUAAUUUAUUCAUUUACUCAUACCAGAAUGGACUCAGGAAUAUGUAUUUUAUAUCUUGGUUUAUAAUCCAAUAUGACUUUAUCUUGUUAAUCCAAUUAUGUCAGCUUUGGCCAUUGGGAGCUCUUUCAGGUGGCUCCAGCGUUCCCUUUGAUGCAUUCCCAUCAUUGUGGGCUUUUCUUUUUUAAGCACUUCCUUGCUUUCUGGCACUCUAGAUACCCCAUGCUCAUCUUAUUUUUUUUCCUGCUCCAGUCCUAGAACCAGCCUUUUCUCCGAGCUCUGGUUCCUUUCUUUGGAGGAUGGUAUAAAAGAUCUGGGCACAGGGGCCAGGCCCCUGGCGCAGCAGUUAAGUUCGCAUGUUCUGCUUUGGAGGCCUGGGGUUCGCUGGUUUGGAUCCCUGGUGCAGACAUGGCACCGCUUGGCAAGCCAUGCUAUGGUAGGCAUCCCACAUAUAAAGUGGAGGAAGAUGAGCAAGGAUGUUAGCUCAAGGCCAGUCUUCCUCAGCGGAAAAAAAAAAAAAAAAGAGGAGGAUUGGUGGCAGAUGUUAGCUCAGGGCUAAUCUUCCUCAAAAAAAAAAAAAGAUCUAGGCACCAAGUAUGCCCAUUGCUGCUGGGGUAUUGUUUCUUCUAAGCCCUCUCAGCUAACAGAGCAAGGAAAUGUGUGUGUGUGUGUGUGUGUAUAAUAACCCACUGAUAGACAUAUAUUGAAAAAUACUAUUAUAUGUAACCAUCUGUACUUCCAUUAGGCUAAAUAUAAGUUCAGACUGAGGUCUCCGACUUUAAUCCAUUACUACAUGGAUCAUUCUAACCUCUUCCCCUUACUUACCUGUAAACUCUCAUUCAAACCAUCCACUUUUCAUCUACACAAUGUUUGCUUCCAGUAUAUGUGUAUAGUGGUAUCAGAAUUAUUGACCCAUGUCCCCACAGGAAACAACUUUGUCAAUUACAGUGCUUAUACACAGUUUCUUCUGCUUUCAGUCUUACAGACUCCGCUCUUUUCAAAGUUACAAGGUCAGUACCUUUUCCCUCACCUCUUCUGUGAGGUUGUUUCAUGCAUUUGUGAUACAGUCAGAUUGUCUUGUCAUAUUCUGCAUUCCAUCCUUGGAUCCCCUGACCUCCUAUGUGAUAUUUUAGAAAUUUAUAUUAUUAAGAUUCAUUCUUUGCACUGUAACAUUUUAUGGGUUUUCACAAAUUUGGUGUCAUGUAUUCCCAAUGACAGUAUCAUAAAAGAUUGUUUUACAAACUUUUUUAAAAAAUGCCCUAUGUUACAUCUAUUCACUGUGUCCCCCAUCUGCAAGGGUCUGCCUACUAUUGAUUAUUUUUUUAACCAUUACUAGAGUUUUCUUUUCCAGAAUGUCAUAUAAUUGGAAUCAUGGAGUACGUAUCUUUUCCAGACUGGCUUCUCUCACUUAGCAAUAUGGAUUUAAGAUUCAGACACAGCUUUUUGUGAUUUAAUAGAUUUUUCUUUUUUCACUGAAAAACAUUCCAUUGUAUGGAUGUACCAGUUUGUUUACCCAUUUGACUUUUGAAGGACAUUUUGGUUGCUUCUAGUUUGGGGUAUGAAUACUGCUAUAAACAUUCUAAUACAGAUUUUUGAGUGGAUAUACGUUUUAAUCCAUUUGAGUAAAUGCAUAGGAGUGUGAUUGCUGGAUUCUAUGGUACGACGAUGUUUAGCUUUGAAAGAAAUUGCCAACUGUCUUCUAAAUUGGCUGUACCACUUUACAUUCCCACCAACAAAGAAUGAGAGUUCCUGUUGCUUCAUAUCCUCGCCAACAAUUGGUAUCGUCAGUUUUUUGGAUUUGAAUCAAUCUAAUGAGUGUGCAAUGCUAUCACUUUGCAGUUUUGAUUUGCAAUUCCCUAAUGACAUAUGAUCUUUUCAUAUGCUUAUUUACCAUCUGUCUAUAUUCUUUGGUGAGAUGUCUGGUGUUUUUGCCUAUUUAACCGUUAAAGCAAAGAUUUAUUUCUAGGCUCUCUAUUCUGUUCUAUUGGUCUAUGUAUCUGUGUUUAUGCCAGAACUAUACUGUUUUUUGUGGGGAUUUUUGGAGGAGGAUUAGCCCUGAGCUAACAUCUGCAGCCAAUCCUCCUCUUUAUGCUGAGGAAGACUGGCCCUGAGCUAACAUCCGUGCUCAUCUUCCUCUGUUUUAUGUGGGACACCUGCCACGGCAUAGCUUGCCAAGGGGUGCAUAGGUCCACACCCGGGAUCCAAACUGGUGAACCCCGGGCCACCAAAGCAGAACGUGUGAACUUAACCACUGUGCUACUGGCCGACACCCAGAACUGUACUGUUUUGAUUACUAUAGCUCUGUAAUAUAAUUUGAAAUCAGGAAGUGUGGUG